rnacentral:rRNA from 1 species
UAAUGCAUGCAAGUCGCACGGAGCUUCGGCUCAGUGGCGGACGGGUGAGUAACACGUAGGAACCUGCCCAGAAGUGGGGGAUAACUCCUCGAAAGAGGGGCUAAUACCGCAUACAGUCUACGGACCAAAGCAGCAAUGCGCUACUGGAGGGGGCCCUGCGGUGGAUUUAGCUAGUUGGUGGGGUAAUGGCCUACCAAGGCGACGAUCCAUAGCUGGUCUGAGAGGACGGCCAGCCACACUGGGACUGAGACACGGCCCAGACUCCG